rnacentral:rRNA from 1 species
UACAGAGGUCCCAAGCGUGGUUCGGAUUCAUUGGGCGUAAAGGGUGCGUAGGCGGCGCGGUAAGUCGGGUGUGAAAUCUCGGAGCUUAACUCCGAAACUGCAUUCGAUACUGCCGUGCUUGAGGACUGGAGAGGAGACUGGAAUUUACGGUGUAGCGGUGAAAUGCGUAGAUAUCGUAAGGAAGACCAGUGGCGAAGGCGGGUCUCUGGACAGUUCCUGACGCUGAGGCACGAAGGCCAGGGGAGCAAACGGG